AGCUGAAAGGUGGACUGCUGUCUUCUGAGGACAUUGUGUAUGAUUUCUUUCCCCUCUUUUAAGUCUACCAUCUACUGAGAAAUCACUUUUACUGGGAAUCCAAACAACUGGAAUUUAUUUCAUGCUCUAUAAUUUUAUGAGAAGCAACUGAAAAUAAAAAGGCUGAUACCAUGACUGUAUCCAUAAAAGGAACUUAGAGACUAUGGGAGCAUUUUUUCAUGAAUGAUGACAAUGGCACUCUACCAUAGUGAUCUUCCUCCAAAAUGCUCGUAGCCCUGUAUUAUCAUAAGGAAAAUACCUGAAAACUCCCAAUAGAAAGACUUCCUACAAAAUGCUUGAGCCAAUACUUCUAAAAUUGUGAAGGAUUUCUAAGAAUCAGUCAUAGUCAAGAGGAACUUCAGCAAGAUGACCACUAAAGGUAAUGUGGUAUGGUGGAUGGGACCUUAAAACAGAAAAAAGUACAUCAAGUAAGAACUAAGGAAUCCUGAAAAAAGUAUACACUUUAGUUAACAAUAAUGGUUGGUUCACUAUUUAUGCAUGUUAGCUAACGAUAAUAUUGGUUCAUUAAUUGUAACAAGUAGACCAUAUUAAUGUAAGAUGCUGAUAAUAGAAGAAUUUCAAUGUAGAGUAUAUGGGAAUUCUCUGUAGUAUGUUUACAGUUUUUCUCUCAAACUUCAAUUGUCCUAAAGUGAAAAGUAUAUUUUUUAAAAAAAUAGACUUUAGAAUGUCUUUGGUUUUGGUUUUGCUUUAUUUUCACGUUCCUGAGGCUCCCACUCUGAAACUUUAAAACAACGUUAAAAAGUCUGCUAAUAAGUAUAUAGAUCAAUCUCAGGUAAAAUAAAAAUUGAUGUUUCCAUAUCACACAUGCUUAAAAGAAUGAAAUAAAAUUUCCCAAAGUGCAGUGUAAGACGGUUACUUAAAUACUCAGAGUUGCCCUUCGUAGACUCUGAAAGAGAGAUUAGCAGGAACAUAGAUUGCUAAACUGCCUCACUGCACUGAUACUCCAUGAUUGACUUCCUGUGACAAAUAGUAAAUGAGAUUUUCUUUUUCAGAGACUACAAUGCCACAGUGACUAGUUUUUCUGCCCCAAGCAU